GAAGACAAAUGUAUGAUAGUCCAGUGAAAGUAAGCAAAUAAAUACAAAGAGAAUAAAUACUUGGGUCCAUUAUAAUCAAAUUGCUGAAGAAUCAAAGGAAAAAAACAUUGAAAACUGCAUACAUACAUUUUAACAAAUGGACGAAUCAUAUACAAGUGAAUAACCUUUCAAAACACUGACUUUUCAUUAGAAAUAACAGAAGCUAGAAGACCAGCAAGAUUAAAAUGCUCAAAGAAGAAUAAAGCCAAUGCAGAAUUAUAUAUUAGUGAAAACAUCUUCCUGCAAUGAAAAUGAGGGAGUUCUUUUGUGACUGCAGUGGUGUGGGUUCAGUCCCAGGCCUAGGAACUUGCACAUGCUGUGAGCAUGGCAAAAAAGAAAAUUAAAAAAAAGUGAAAUAAGGACAUUUUCAGAUAAAAGGAAAAUUAUAUGUAAAUGAUUAAAAGUAAAUAUUUCCCAUUGAGAACUAUGUCUAGAUACUCAUGUCGCAACAGAAGAAAGGGUGGGGGAAAAAACUGUAACUGCAAUGUAUACAUCUAAGGAUAACCUGACCCCCUUGCUGUACAGUGGGAAAAAAAAAAAAAAGUAAAUAUUUCCUUUUUAAUCUCUUUAAAAGUAUAUGCUUAAAACAAAAGUUAUAACAUUGUAUUUUGUGGUUAAUAGCAUGUAUAUGUGGCACAGCAUAAAGUAUGACAACUGAAACAUUCGAGUGUUCAGCAGAAGAUUGGCAGGCAGAAGAAAGGAACGAUGACCUUUUGAAGAUAAGGCAAUUAAAUGAUCCAGUCUGGGAGUUCCCUUGUGGCCCAGUGGGUUAAGGCUCUGGCUUAGUCACUGCUGUGGCUUUUGUUAUAGCUGCGGUGCAAGUUCAGUUCCUGGCCUGGGAACCUUCGCAUGCCUCGGGUGUGCCCCACCUCCAAAAAAAUUAUCUAGCCUUAGGAGCAGAACAAAAAAAGAAUGAAGAAAAAUGACUAGAAAGAGUUCCCAUCAUGGCUCAGCAGUUAAUGAACCCGACUAGCAUCCACGAGGAUGCUAGUUCGAUCCCUAGUCUCGCUCAGUGGGUUAAGGAUCUGGCGUUGCCUAGAUCUGUGGUAUAGGUUGCAGCUGUGGCUUGGAUCCUGUGUUGCUGUGGUGUAGGCUGGUGGCUAUAGCUCUUAUUGGAUCCCUAGCUUGGGAAUUUCCAUGUGCCUUGGGUGCAGCCCUAACAAGACAAAAAGAAAAAAAGAAAAUAAAAAUGGCUAGAGCUCAGGGACCUAUGGGAUACCAUCAGACAUAGCAACACAUGUGCUACUGGAAUCCCAGAU
rnacentral:lncRNA from 1 species